rfam:Stenotrophomonas sp. LM091, complete genome.
CGUUCUCUGCUGUGAACGACGGCGUGUGCAAACAUUCGCCUUGUCCCUUAAUUACGACCACGGGUGCGCGACGGCGCCGGGAGUGCAAGUCCGCCUUGUAGCGGGAAGCCCGAUGGAACCCCAGCGUACCCACUUGAACCCCGGGUUCAAGGUCGUUUCGCAUGCAUCGUCACGGCGGAGAAUGC